AACGGGGGGAACUAGUGUUAUUCAUCAUGAUUAGGCGUAAAGGGAGCGUAGACGGUUUUUAUUGAUAAAAGAUAAUAGGCAAAGAAUGUUAUUUUUUAAAGAUUAGACUAGAGUUUGGAAGGGGAUUAAGGUACUUUAGAAGUAAAGGUGAAAUUUAACUAUAUCUACAGGACCACCAACGAGCGAAAGCGUUAAUCUGGGAUACAACUGACGUUGAAGAUCGAAAGCAUGGGAAUCAAACGGG
rnacentral:rRNA from 1 species